CUAGCCUACGGGAGGCAGCAGUGGGGAAUAUUGCACAAUGGGCGAAAGCCUGAUGCAGCAGCGCCGCGUGAAGGAAGAAGGGUUUCGGCUCGUAAACUUCUAUUAACAGGGACGAAAGAAAUGACGGUACCUGAAUAAGAAGCCCCGGCUAACUACGUGCCAGCAGCAGCGGUAAUACGUAGGGGGCAAGCGUUAUCCGGAAUUACUGGGUGUAAAGGGUGAGUAGGCGGCAGGGUAAGCCAGAUUUGAAAUCCUUGGGCUUAACCCCAGGAGUGCAUUUGGAAAUAU
rnacentral:rRNA from 1 species